UCCUGCCAGGGCUGACAGCUUCUUCCAGGGGAAGGUCCUUCACCAUCACCCAGUGAUGUACGCCGGGGUUCAAAGCUCCUCCAUCCCACACCCACACCAGCUGCAGGCACGCUGCGGGGGACCGCUGCCGUCCCCCGGGUAGGAAGGCAUCCCUCCCGGUGCUGGCACCGCUGCCUGGUCACCCCAGCUGGCAGGCCAGACUCGGGGACCACAGGGACGGCUGGCGCCUGCGCUCAGGAAGGCAGUGAGCUCACAGGUUUAAUUUUCUCAAGGCUUCGUUCGGCUCUGACAUGUGAUCCUCGUUACAGGAAGGACGCGGCAAACACGUCGUCCCCUGAGGCUUCCUGGCUCGACCUUGUGGGAAGAGGUCCAGGUCUUUGUGACUCCGUGGGCUCAGUCCCCCAGGCUCUGCUUGCUGAGCUCGGUUCUCCAGACUGGAUUUCCCAGGCUCCUUUCCUUGGGCUCAGUUCCCCGUGCUGACCUCUGUGAGCUCUCCAGGCUCGGUUCCUUGGGCCUGGCAUGCUGGACAUGGCUCUCCAAACUUGGGUCCAAGGGUAUGGCUCUCCAGGCUCGGCGAGGUCUCCAGUCACGGCUUGCUGGCGGUGGUUCUCCAGGCUUGGUUCUCCAGGUAUCACCUGCUGGAGGUGUCUCCCCAGGCUUGGUGUCUCUGUGGUGGUUCCCCAGCAGGCUCUCAGGGCUGGGCUCCCUGGCCAGCCCGGUGCCAGCAGAGGGCCUCCCUUACCCAACAGAGCACUGCGCUGCCACGAAAUUAUAAAACACAUUAUCUAUUUGGCAAAAGUUUAUGCAAGGACCAGGAAAUGGGCUGGAGUUCAUUCUCCUCCAGAAGACCGGAGACAACGUGUCGUGUCCCCCCCCCGCUUCUUUUUUUAAUGCCAGCACUCGAGAUGCAUUAAAGCCACGGGAGUGUUCAUCAUUAAAAUGGCAAUUGCGAAGCGAGGCAAUAAAUUUAACAUCAUAAAAGGCACUGGGAGGGUCCCGCUCAUCUGUUGCUCUUCAAAGAAAAGUGUUAGUUGCUUCUGAAAAAAAAAAUUGGGAAGAAACAGGUUGCUCCUGCAUCCCGUGGCUUCCCUCACCACCUUCUUCUAGCUCCUGCAGACUCCUUUUCCUCCCUCAUCGCCUGAUAACGGCCUUCAGAUCCAUGAGAAUAUGGGGCGAUGAUCCAUGCGUGGAGCCGUGCGAGCCCCUCGGGGCUGGGGCAGGGGGACGGAGGAGGGACAGAUGAACGGACACCACCGAGGUUGUGCAGUUGGCGAGGAGCAGAUCUGCCACUGCUUGGCGUGGUGCUCAGCCUGGCUGCCUGCUAGCCAUCCCUGCCAGCUUGAUCAAUGGAUGUGCUGCCACUUCUCAGUAAUAAAAUCCUUCCUCCACAUACA